rnacentral:rRNA from 1 species
GAUGAACGCUAGCGGCAGGCCUAACACAUGCAAGUCGAGGGAGAAGCCUUUCGGGGCAGAAACCGGCGCACGGGUGCGUAACGCGUAUGCGACCUACCUUUCACAGGGGGAUAGCCCGAAGAAAUUUGGAUUAAUACCCCAUAAUAUUGUUGGAUGGCAUCAUUUGACAAUUAAAACUGCGGUGGUGAGAGAUGGGCAUGCGUCCUAUUAGCUAGUUGGAGUGGUAACGGCACCCCAAGGCUACGAUAGGUAGGGGUCCUGAGAGGGAGAUCCCCCACACUGGUACUGAGACAGGGACCAGACUCCUACGGGAGGCAGCAGUGAGGAAUAUUGGUCAAUGGUCGGAAGACUGAACCAGCCAUGCCGCGUGCAGGAAGAAUGCCCUAUGGGUUGUAAACUGCUUUUAUAUGGGAAGAAUAAAGGUGUACGUGUACA